rnacentral:rRNA from 1 species
GUGGGGAAUUUUGCGCAAUGGGGGGAACCCUGACGCAGCAACGCCGCGUGCGGGAUGAAGGCCUUCGGGUUGUAAACCGCUUUCAGCAGGGAAGAUAGUGACGGUACCUGCAGAAGAAGCCCCGGCUAACUACGUGCCAGCAGCCGCGGUAAUACGUAGGGGGCGAGCGUUAUCCGGAUUCAUUGGGCGUAAAGCGCGCGUAGGCGGCCCGUCAAGCGGAACCUCUAACCCGAGGGCUCAACCCCCGGUCGGGUUCCGAACUGGCAGGCUCGAGUUUGGUAGAGGAAGAUGGAAUUCCCGGUGUAGCGGUGGAAUGCGCAGAUAUCGGGAAGAACACCGAUGGCGAAGGCAGUCUUCUGGGCCAUCAACUGACGCUGAGGCGCGAAAGCUGGGGGAGCGAACAGGA